CUCUGCUUAGCUCAGUUGGAAGAGCGCAAGACUGUAAUGGCUCACGGAAUCAUCUUGAGGUCGCUAGUUCGAACCUGGCAGCAGAGA
rfam:Calocera viscosa TTFC12733 unplaced genomic scaffold CALVIscaffold_19, whole genome shotgun sequence.